rnacentral:rRNA from 1 species
ACUCCUACGGGAGGCAGCAGUGGGGAAUAUUGGACAAUGGGGGAACCCUGAUCCAGCCAUGCCGCGUGUGUGAAGAAGGCCUUAUGGUUGUAAAGCACUUUAAGCGAGGAGGAGGCUACUAGUAUUAAAUACCUACUGGAUAGUGGACGUUACUCGCAGAAUAAGCACCGGCUAACUCUGUGCCAGCAGCCGCGGUAAUACAGAGGGUGCGAGCGUUAAUCGGAUUUACUGGGCGUAAAGCGUGCGUAGGCGGCCAUUUAAGUCAAAUGUGAAAUCCCCGAGCUUAACUUGGGAAUUGCAUUCGAUACUGGAUGGCUAGAGUAUGGGAGAGGAUGGUAGAAUUCCAGGUGUAGCGGUGAAAUGCGUAGAGAUCUGGAGGAAUACCGAUGGCGAAGGCAGCCAUCUGGCCUAAUACUGACGCUGAGGUACGAAAGCAUGGGGAGCAAACAGGAUUAGAUACCCU